UACAGAGUGGGCAAGCGUUGUUCGGAAUUACUGGGCGUAAAGGGCGCGUAGGCGGCCUUCUAAGUCGAACGUGAAAUCCCCGGGCUCAACCCGGGAACUGCGUCCGAUACUGGAAGGCUUGAAUCCGGGAGAGGGAUGCGGAAUUCCAGGUGUAGCGGUGAAAUGCGUAGAUAUCUGGAGGGACACCGGUGGCGAAGGCGGCAUCCUGGACCGGCAUUGACGCUGAGGCGCGAAAGCCAGGGGAGCAAACGGG
rnacentral:rRNA from 1 species